AAUCCCGUUAAAAGAUUAGAGGUUAAUUCUUCACACGCAGUUUCCUUGCCUAGACAUUCCCAUCACUAGGUUGAGGAAUAGUUGUACAGUACAAACCGUCGUGAUCAGAGGUGGUGAUGUAAAAUUGGAAGAUCGCAAUUGUGUAGAAACCUGGUUAGUUUACAAGGUGGAUCAAUUUCAAAUUUCACAUGAUAUGUAACUAUGGCUAUUUCAUGGCAUUUGCCGCCACAUUCUUCUUUUCCCAACCUAACUUUUCGUAAUUUCGUAUUUUCGAUUAAUCUUUUUAGAUAAAUUCGCUUUUUCGUCUAAUCUUGCAACCUUUCAUUGUGAUUACUCCAUUAUCGAGCUUAGAAAAUAUCGCUACAUAAUUUGGAGUGUGAUGCCUUUUAUUGAUAUUCUGCGUAGUGUACUGAAUACUGGAAUGCUGGAUCGAAUUUGCUGUCAUCAAAAAAGAGUAUAUGACUCAAAGGUUCAUUAACUUUUCUAAUAUAGUCGUUAGUUUUCCAAAUACGUGGAAGACUCUGUUCUCUCCGAAUGUAUUUGUUAAGCGCUGAACACGAUUAAAUACAAUGCCAUCAAAUCAUUGUUUAGAUAUUUGCAUGAUACGCAUUGUCCAAAUGCGAACAAUAUGUUCAAACGUAACGAUAGCAAGCGCUCAUAUCUAUGUCGAAAAGAAGAAAAACAUCUGCAAAAUGCGACAUUGCCAGAACGAAGAAUUGUUGAACACAUUGCUCUGUCGUCUACAGAACUAGUUCUGGCAAAAUGGCGUUACCUUGUUGAAAAAAGGUGCAGAUCUUUUAUAAAUUAAUUAUCCUCUCUACCAUUAUUUAUGAACACUUGUCUUUGAGAGAUUUGUUGCUCGCUGCCCAUAUUUCGUGCCAAUGACAACAUGGCGAAUUCUUUUUUCUCCUUCGAAUUCUGCCAAUGACGAUCCAAUUAUCGACCGAUUUUCCCACUUCUACAACUUUGCGGAAGUGCGUGCCAGCUAAUCCAUACUGCACCGAUCUGAGCGUAAUGUCCGGUGAGUCCGCUGAAUAUGGCAGAACUUCCCAUUCGAGCUACAAAAUUGUAUCCUUGACAACCCUUGCAACGUGUGACCGUGCGUGAAAGAUUACACAGGAAAAGUUUGAUCAGAGAGGCGCCAUUAGAAAAUAUCCUACGUGACUUGUUAAUCAAUAUCUGAUUAUAAUGCUAAACUAUCUCUUGGACUUACCCAGGUCAUGAAAUACUAUAUGAUAAAUAUUAUCGUCAUUGUUGUAAAACAAUUAUACUUAAACAGUCAAUAAAAUAUAAAUUAUCAUGGUAAAAUUCUCACGUGACCAA